GGAGGGUUGGCCGAGUGGUUUAUGGCGCUAGUCUUGAAAACUAGUGGGCGAAAGCCCUCGCAGGUUCGAAUCCUGCACCCUCCGCCA
rnacentral:tRNA from 1 species